rnacentral:tRNA from 1 species
GAAAUGUAAAGUCAAUAUGAAAGCCGCUAACUUUAAUAUUAGCGGUUUAAUUCCGUUAACAUUUCU